GUCUACAGCCACGCUCCCCUGAAUGGGCCCGAUCUUGUCUGAUCUCGGAAGCUAAGCUAAGCCUGGUUAGUAGUUGGAUGGGAGACCACCUAGGAGUACCAGGUGCUGUAGGUG
rnacentral:rRNA from 1 species